GAUUGUUUUGAUAUUGGAUUAUUUGUGUUUAAAAAAGGAUAUAACAGAUUGGCCAUACAAUGGUUCUAUACAACAUUAACCAAACAACAAGAUCUCAAGUCAACAAAACAGAACAUAAAGAUAUUUCGUUCAAUUGUCAUUGGCUUAAUUGAAAAUGCAAAACGACAAGAAGUUAAAGCAGAAAAGGAAACAAGAAUGAGAAUAGCAUUGACUACACUUCAAAAAGAUUAUGUAUUCAGAGAGAUACUGUAAAUAUUUAGGAUAUCCCUACAUGUACAUCGGAUUUUACUACCGACCAAUCAAAAUCGAGCUCAUCAGCAAAUCACCAAGGAUAUUAGUUAUUCAUGACAUUAUCAAUAUGGAUGUCAU